GAUGAACGCUGGCGGCGUGCCUAAUACAUGCAAGUCGAGCGAACGGACGAGAAGCUUGCUUCUCUGAUGUUAGCGGCGGACGGGUGAGUAACACGUGGAUAACCUACCUAUAAGACUGGGAUAACUUCGGGAAACCGGAGCUAAUACCGGAUAAUAUUUUGAACCGCAUGGUUCAAAAGUGAAAGACGGUCUUGCUGUCACUUAUAGAUGGAUCCGCGCUGCAUUAGCUAGUUGGUAAGGUAACGGCUUACCAAGGCAACGAUGCAUAGCCGACCUGAGAGGGUGAUCGGCCACACUGGAGCUGAGACACGGUCCAGACUCCUACGGGAGGCAGCAGUAGGGAAUCUUCCGCAAUGGGCGAAAGCCUGACGGAGCAACGCCGCGUGAGUGAUGAAGGUCUUCGGAUCGUAAAACUCUGUUAUUAGGGAAGAACAUAUGUGUAAGUAACUGUGCACAUCUUGACGGUACCUAAUCAGAAAGCCACGGCUAACUACGUGCCAGCAGCCGCGGUAAUACGUAGGUGGCAAGCGUUAUCCGGAAUUAUUGGGCGUAAAGCGCGCGUAGGCGGUUUUUUAAGUCUGAUGUGAAAGCCCACGGCUCAACCGUGGAGGGUCAUUGGAAACUGGAAAACUUGAGUGCAGAAGAGGAAAGUGGAAUUCCAUGUGUAGCGGUGAAAUGCGCAGAGAUAUGGAGGAACACCAGUGGCGAAGGCGACUUUCUGGUCUGUAACUGACGCUGAUGUGCGAAAGCGUGGGGAUCGAACAGGAUUAGAUACCCUGGUAGUCCACGCCGUAAACGAUGAGUGCUAAGUGUUAGGGGGUUUCCGCCCCUUAGUGCUGCAGCUAACGCAUUAAGCACUCCGCCUGGGGAGUACGACCGCAAGGUUGAAACUCAAAGGAAUUGACGGGGACCCGCACAAGCGGUGGAGCAUGUGGUUUAAUUCGAAGCAACGCGAAGAACCUUACCAAAUCUUGACAUCCUUUGACAACUCUAGAGAUAGAGCUUUCCCCUUCGGGGGACAAAGUGACAGGUGGUGCAUGGUUGUCGUCAGCUCGUGUCGUGAGAUGUUGGGUUAAGUCCCGCAACGAGCGCAACCCUUAAGCUUAGUUGCCAUCAUUAAGUUGGGCACUCUAAGUUGACUGCCGGUGACAAACCGGAGGAAGGUGGGGAUGACGUCAAAUCAUCAUGCCCCUUAUGAUUUGGGCUACACACGUGCUACAAUGGACAAUACAAAGGGCAGCGAAACCGCGAGGUCAAGCAAAUCCCAUAAAGUUGUUCUCAGUUCGGAUUGUAGUCUGCAACUCGACUACAUGAAGCUGGAAUCGCUAGUAAUCGUAGAUCAGCAUGCUACGGUGAAUACGUUCCCGGGUCU
rnacentral:rRNA from 1 species